ACAGUUGCAGAACCGAGGCUGUAGCUCAUUCCUUCCUGAAUCUCUGGCUUCCAGCCCCCCGGGCAGCGCGAUGCAGGGUCCUUCUCGUCCUCGCAGCCACAGCAUGUGGUGGUUUGAUCCUUUGUCCGCUGCUUCUCCCCACACCAGGGAGCAGAGGCCGUGAGGCUGGGCUGGGCUGAGCUGCCGGCCGGGAGCAAGGCUAUGGUGGGCAGCGGCCAGACCAGGGCUUCCUGGGACCCAGCACGUUAAAUUUGCUACUUGUGAUUCACAGCUGAAGGCAGGACUGCUGCUGCGGUCACGACCACACCUGGAAUGACACCAAAGUCGCAGAGGAGCCCCGUGGAGGGAGGGGGCUGCCCCUGUACCCCCGCCUCCCCCUUCCUGGGCUCCGAGGCAUCUACCCGGCCUUUCUGGAGACCAGGGGUUGGUUCCUGGCCUGCCUUGGUGGGCUCGAGGCCCCUUGCCACGUCCUGGUGGGUUCCAGGUCCUGUGGCUUCAGCCAGAGCUGUGGAGAUGCUGUGGGCACAGGUGUGCCGGGAGCUGCCUGCUUGGUUGGGGAAGCAGGCUCCUGCUGAGGUGGGGAGAGCGGAGACUUGGCUUCUCUCCUCUGAUGUCUCUAUUUGUCAUUCGAAUAGAUCAAAGGCAUCUCUGGAGUCCUGAUUUUAAAGGAAGGAGAGGUCAGAACUACAGGCACCUCCCGUCCGGCUCUAGGAAGUCCCAGGCUGCAUUCUGGGUCACUGCUGCGUGGCCAAGAGGCUUGGGCCCUCCUCCCUCCCUGCCUCCCUCCCCCUCCCACCAUCCUUCCUUCCACCUUCCUCCCUCUCUGCUCCCUUCUUUCUUCAUUCAGAUCUUCAUGAGGGGCCUCCUGGGGCUUGGCUCUGGGCUGGGUUCCCUGGGAGCUCCGUGAAUGGCCUACGAGCUAGUCCUUACUCAUGAAGACUUUCAAAUUGAGUUGAGACCCCGUGUAUCGAAGGAACAAAUGGACGCUGGGCACGUCUGUGUGCCAGGCUCCUCUUGCCGGAGCUGAGGGUUGCAAUGAUGGUGGGGAUGAUGGGGGAGGUGUCGGUGUUGGUGAGAUGUUGGUGAUGGUGGAGGAGUUGUUGGCGAGGUAUCACCAACAGGUGAUGGCGGCGGCAGCGCUGACAGAAUGUUUGGGGAACUUGCUCGCCUCAGUCAAGUGGACUCAGGAUGUCCUGCUGUGGACUCAACUGGACCAGCAAGUCUGGGGUCACCCAGGUGGGCACUUGCGUUGCUUCCCCAUCUUGGCUGUUCUGAAUAGUGCUGCAGUGAACGGGGGAGUGAAGAUAUCUCUUCCAGAUCCUGAUUUCAAUUCUUUUGGAUAAAUACCCGGAAGUUGGACUGCUGGAUGAUUUGUGCACAAACAAGGGUUCCGGUUUCUCUGCAUCCUCACCAACACUUGUCUUUUUGAUGAUAUCCAUCCUAACAGGUAUGAAGUGAUAUCUCAUUGUGGUUUUACUUUGCAUUUCCCUG